UACGGAGGGUGCAAGCGUUAAUCGGAAUUACUGGGCGUAAAGCGCGCGUAGGCGGCUAAGUAAGCUAGAUGUGAAAUCCCUGGGCUCAACCUGGGAACUGCAUUAGAACUGCUUGGCUAGAGUGCAGAAGAGGAGUGUGGAAUUUCCGGUGUAGCGGUGAAAUGCGUAGAGAUCGGAAGGAACAUCAGUGGCGAAAGGCGACACUCUGGUCUGACACUGACGCUGAGGUGCGAAAGCGUGGGUAGCAAACAGG
rnacentral:rRNA from 1 species